UUCUAAGCCCAAUACGCAAUCAAGAUCCACAGCUUUUGUCAAAUUUUGACCCGCUAGCAGUACCGACGCAAGAUGCAGUUGUCGACCUGCUACCUAUACAGCCUAUACGGGUCGGCAAAAUCCUUGCUCUGCGAAAACCAGCUGAACAUCAUGAUACAUCAGCUGAACAACAUGAUAUUUGUAACGGUGUCAUCGAAGAUCCUCUGGGCCAAAUCAACCUAUUGGCCCCCCAGUUAAAGCUAUCACACCUAUCUAGGGACCAGCGACCUCAAACCCGGAACCACCAAGCAGGGCAGAUAGAGGAGGAGCCCAGCUCAGGAGCCUCAAACCAUCGGAAAAGAGAUUGACUGCCACUAUUUCCACCAUCACCCUAUUUCCACAUUCUAUCCUGGAAUGUGGCGGGAUGGCUAUCUAAGCAGGGUGACGUCGACCUUCUGGAUUUCCUUACAAAAUUUCAGAUUUUAUGUCUACAGGAGACAUGGUGUCUAGAUCUCCAUGUCCCCUCUUUACAGGGAUACGAAGCCUUUGCUACCCCUGCGAUAAAACCAAAAUCCCGAGGCCGACCUAGUGGUGGUUUAGUCACUUUUGUUUCUACCAAGCUAAAAUGCAAGGUCCGGCAACAGCAGUGGGUGAAGAGUAACAAUUUACAAAUCUUACUUAUUUCUAGCAGUGAAGGAGGAGAUUUCCUUUGCUUUAAUAUAUAUAUCCCUCCCAUAGGCACCCCUCCCCAGUCGUCACAAUUCUGGGAAGAUUUAGAGCUAUGUUUGGAGAAGGCUGAACUAGAACUCCCUGGCAUGGAUAUCCUGCUGGCAGGUGAUUUCAACGCCAGGAUAGGAAAUGACAUUAAUACGUACUGCUCUAAAUCUCAGUUCCUGCCAGAGGCAGAUUGGUUUAUUCCCUGGUCCUCAGACGAUAAGGUCUUGAAUAAGGCAGGCAUUACAUUAAUGGAGACUGCCUUCAAACAUAAUUUGUAUAAUUUGCAUGGUACCCAUAUGGACAGGUCAGGGGGUUUCUUUUCUUUUCUUGGACCUAGAGGUGCGAGCGUUAUUGAUCAUAUCCUGGUCUCCCCAAAACUCUUGGAGAGGUCACAGGGCUUCAGGACUUUCAAUAGAAUUGAGAGUGAUCAUCUUCCUAUAUCAAUUUCACUAAUUCCCCGUGGUGUGGAGGAUCCGCAAUACCGCAAUCACUGUGCAGACCCACCUCCAACUCUGGCCCUUCGUAGGCGUAAAUGGAACAGCGACCUGGAAUCUAAAAUCAAAUUACACCUGCAUUCAUCAGACUUACUGGCCUUGAGAGACCAGUGUAUCUCAUCUAUUUCUGACCCCUUUUCAACAUUUCAGCAGGUCUCAGAGUCGCUCUUCCCACUACUCACGAAUUCCAACCCUCCC